CCCAGUUGUAGGCAACUAGCUAGGUUGCCUUGUACCUAGGCAAGUGCUACACAGCUGGGAGAAAAGCAGCCAAUAGCUGGUGGGCAUCCUGGGCCUGCUUAAUGACAAA
ensembl:snoRNA SNORA74 Small nucleolar RNA SNORA74